CAGCCUUUGCCACUAGUCUCAAUCAAGCCAUUCGCACCGCCGGCAGUCGGACCACGGAAUCGGACAGCCUCUCUCUUUCUCCUUCCCCGUUAUUCACUCGCCAACUCUUCACGUGUUGACAUGCGCACCGAGGGUGAAUCGGCAGGUCUCGAUUUUCCACCUCCCAGAGACGCCGCAGGACGCACCGAUGAUCGCGACCCGUGUUCAUUCCCUUUUCUGCCAAAGCCUUCGGCGGGAACUUCAUUUUACAAGAGUUCAACCCUUGGGUCUUGGAGUCUUAUUUUACCGGAAAAGAACUUCAUCCUACCCAGCAGCAUGAUGACGACGUCAUCGUGGGCGUAUUCCCGGAUCUCGCCUAGCCAGGCCCUGAUGUUAUCGAAGCUCGUUUUGUUGGUGACGUCGUAGAGAAGGAGCAAUGCUGAAAGGAGAAUUAUCGUUACCUAAUACACGUACCUACGCGCGAUGUUGGUAAAUAUGAUAGACGAGCAGAGAAGAUCACUAGCGCACCCUGUUGUUCCGGUGUAAAUAAACGGCUGGAGGACCGGCGAAUUACGAUUCAAUAUCAACUUGAACUGGUAAACAGACGAGGAGGUUCGACCAGCCCGAUUCUAUCCAGAAUAGAAAUCGACAACUUCAAGGGAUGCGGGAACGAUCACAAUCGUCGAAGCUGUUCCAUGCAUGGUGCGCGGUUUAACAGUGUGAAACCUGUCCGUGUGAAAAGUGCCGCCGUUGAGUAGAAGUUGAUUUUCCUUUUUCCAACGCGUUCCAAAAGUUCACACAGAGACAUUUUCGAACUCGAUCAGUUUUCUUCCGACACGUUGUGACUUACUUGUGAAUAAUUCAUCGCUUCGCGUACAACCGUUUGUACAUGUUGGAAAGUUUUCUCGCGUUUACGGUGUUAGGAGUGUAGUGAGUGCGAAGUGCUUCGGAGUGGUGAAAAUUCCGGAUCAUCGGAAACGGGGACAAUUUGGAUCGCGGGAUUUCCAGGGCUGAACAUUAAAAUACUGAGACAUGAGCUGGACUACUGGGUGAAGACAAGGGACACGUGCGCUGUUGAAGCAUCUUCGACGGCGUGUAAGCGGUAAUGUCUGGAGAUUUGUCCCAUCCUGUCCCCCAUGAGCCUGGUAGGACGUCUGUCACUUUAAUCCAAGCUUGUCAGCCACUGGAAAGUCCACCGGUUGGCCUUGUGCAUCUCGCCGACCAAAGUCUAAAAACUCAACGAUGAAAUUUGUUUCAUUCAAGGUGUGAAAUAACGCUGGAAUGAAUAAGAAACGAGGAUCUUACCCGGCGCUCACCGGAAAUCGCGAAAAAGUGUAUCGUCGCGUCGUAGUUUCCUGACGCCUACACCUACCGACCUUCGCAGCUCUACGCUCGCCCCUCUCGUCCGUCGAGCCGUCUUUCUGCGCGCGACGAAAGCUAGAAAAGGAUAAAGAGUGGAAGUGAAAGAGAGACGGAUCGAGAGGUCGACCCGUGACGUGUCUGCACCAUGCUUAUAC